ensembl:lncRNA
GUUCACAUUCCAGUGCAGAUUCCCCGAUCGGCCUCCCAGAUGGAUAAGGAUGAAGUCACACCGUCCUUUUUGAGGCAGCCCGAGAAUCCAGAUUCUGAUCUGCUUGCGCCGUUCCCUGCUGUGACGCAGCGCUGGUGCGCGUGAGCUUUCUGCAGCCGUGACUCGGGGAAAGCAGCAUGGAGUGGACAUGAGUAAAGAGGGGGGUGCUGGGAAGGGAGGCUGUGCACCUGGAAUCAGACAGGCUCAGAGGCUCCUGUCCAGGGCGUGCAUUGCAGGGCGGGGUGGGGGGAGUGGGCCGCCCUGUGGAGAACCUGCUGGACAGGCCAGGGGCAAGGCAGACAGGUCCCCCACCCCACACACUUGUAUCUUCUUCCACAGCUGUGUGCUGGCCCCAGCCUGUUCCAGAGAUUCGGGUGUGCACAGACCGGCUCCUGCCCUCAAAUGGCUGACAUUCCCUUGAGAGGAGCAGAUAAAAGCCAAGUAAAAACCAAUCCAACAGGAUGGGCUGUGGCCAUGUCAUCAUCUAAGUUUCUGCAUGUUCAUUGUUGGCGUGCGACUGUGACCUUGCUGAGCUGCCUAGUCUGCAGAAGAGCCCUAGGGAUGGGGAAGAGGCCCCCACCCCCAGCUGAGCCGGAGAGUCAGAGGUGGAGAGGGACCAGACGCCAGGCUUGUAUGGUGUCCACUUAUGCCAGCUGCAUCCAGAUCACAGAUGACCUUGGGGAGAGUAUUACUUGGAGAGUAGAAGAGAUGUCUGUGGUGGACUUCUGGGUGGGUGGGGAAGCUGGAGACGAGGCCACCCACCCACAGGGGAGUUCUUGGGGGAAGAGAGACAGCUGGCAUUCCCUCCUCUCUGCCUUCCAGCUCUCAGUUCUCUCGCCACUCUGCCCCAGCUGUUUCUUCAGUUGUCGACUGCAGAUAAUAACCCAGUGGAGGAGGCUGACAACCCCCAGGUUCACCCUUGGGACACUGCCCUUUCCCUGGGCAGGGCAGGCUGGCCUUGGACUCCGUCUUCCUCCUCAGCCCACACCACCUCUGCCCAUAACAGUGAUGAGGGAACAGAGGGCCAGCUGAGGACAAAGCAGAAGCUGACACCACCACCCCCAAGAUGGGAUUAACGUGACUGACCUUCCUCAGGCGCUCCUGGCUGCCCUGAAGCUAAGGAGAGGAAAAACAAGUAGUUCACUUACAGAGACCACAAUCCUGCAAGACAGGAGUCUCCCUCAGUUUACAAACGUCUUAGCAAUCUACAAGACAAAGCAUUUCCAUCAAUAACCUAGCUUCCAGAAGGAAAUGUAAGAUAAAAUUAUUAAAUGUCCUUAUAACCUGCAGCCCAUUGACAGACACUCGAAGCAGGCAGAGCAAGCAGAGUAAAGCUCCUGCAGGAAGUUCCCGGCUACCUUCAUGCUAAUGCCUUGCCGGAGGGAAAAACCACCUUAACUUGACAGUGGCAAGGCCUGGGGAUCCCGUGAGUCUCUUUAACAUAUGAAAGUACUUUCUCAUCCUCCCUUUCCCUUACCUGCCCCAACCCCAUAGUAUAUAGUCAGCCACCCCUUACAACCCGGGCAGCAGCUCUUUCUGCCCACGGGUCCUGUCCCUGUGCUUUAAUAAACCACCAUUUUGCACCA